UGCCUGUGAUGAGGAAAUGAAAGUCAUGCACCACUCUGAUGUUUUCAGUGCUGAUAUACGACAUAACCCAUUUCUAUCUGAGCCA